AACGUAUUUACCUUUCUUUUCCAGUUUGUAUUUUCUUUAUUCAAAUCCAUAACUCCUGUGGAAAGCACAAUGAUAUUUGCAGUAAAACACACGAAACAUAUCUAUACCAGAAUAUUUCCAGAAUACCUUAUUAGAAAAAAGUGCUUGUUUAUUCUGUAAUAAAAUAAAAUACUGUAGCUACUAUAUAUGCAAUUGGCAGGAUGUGUUUGAACCGCAUUCAAAAGAAGAACUUUGUGAGGCGCCCAUCGACGGGUAAAGAGGUCUGUCAUAUUACUUUUUUCAAGCAUUCACGUUAUAUACUUAAAACGUUAAAUAUCAGAAAACAUAUGAAAAUCUUCGGUUUUUACAAUAAAAUAUCAACAAUUUACAUAUAUUGCCACUAAUAGUAACAAUUAUACACGAUGAGCAAUUAAGUUUCCGCCUAAAGGAACAGAAUAAAGAUAUAAAAGAAAUCGCCAAAACGCUACUUCACAAACAUAUAACAUCGCAUUCCUACAAAUUAAAAUACGGUCUUAUAAUAAAAAUAUCAUUCGAGUAAAAUACUUUUAGCAACGUUGUAAUACGACAGACCAUUAUUAUUAGCUCGAAUUUAUAUGCUUGUGUGAUAUAAACAAAAUCCACUUCUUCGCAUAUUUAAUAAGCUAUAUAAUAGACAUUGUUUAUAUAUUUUGUUUUUAAUAUAUAAACAGGGGAUUUUUAAUAUCUUUAAAAAUAAAAUUAAAAAUAAAAUUUGUCGAGAAAAGAUUACCCUAUGACGUACCCGAAUAUAAGUAAACGUUCUUUCAUUUACUUACUCUUUUUUUAAACCACAUUCUUCGCCAUCAUUAUCCACCAACUGUAUAUGUGCAAUAAUAAUAAAAUUAAUGUUUUAAUAUUUAAAAUAAUAUAAAAUAUAAUAAUAAUAAUAGUAUAGAGCAGCCGUACUAAUAGUAGUAGUGGCAAUUGGAGCAGCAGCAGUAAUAAUAUAGUAGCAUUAUCAUAAAUAAUAGAAUAUAGUAGUAGUAAUAGUACUAAAAGAAUAAUGUAUAAUUGACUAACAAUAAUAAUAAUAGUACAACAAAUACACACCAAAUAACGCUAUAUAUAGGUAACAAAUAGUAAUAAGCAAUAUGAGUCGUGACAAUAUUAAUCAUUCGGCGAUAGCAAUCAUAUAAUAUGUAUAUAGUCAUUUUUUUAUAAUAAUAUUUAACGGUUCUCUACAAAAAUAUAUAUAUACAUAUAUAUGUAUAUAUAAAUUUGUGUAAUGAGAACGUAUAACUAAUUGCAGUGAUUCCAAAAAGAACACAUCAAUGAAAGUUAUAAAAAUUCUAUUUAAAGCUGAAACACGAAGACAAUAAUUGAUGCGAUUGUCACAAUACUACUGCUACUGCUGUGAAUAUAGUACUAUUACUAUUACUACCAUUGCAGUUACUAUUAUUAUUACAGUUAUUAUUAGAAAUACUAUUGUUGUUGUAAAAUCGCGCACACUCUGAAAAUACCAACAACUAUUACCACUACUACUUCUAAUCCUAAACUACUGUUUUACAAUGCUGUUGAUGAUAAUGAUCCAGCUGCUGAUGACGCUAAUAACCAAAGUGGUAAUAGCUAUUGCGGUAAUGAUGUUUAUGAUAAAACUUGAUUCUCCAGUACUCCAUACUAUGUUAAUCAUAUAAAAAAAAAAAAAAAAAAAAAAAAAAAAAAA